rnacentral:rRNA from 1 species
ACCGCUAUUGGAGUUCGAUUAAGCCAUGCGAGUCGAGAGUCUUAGGGACUCGGCGUACCGCUCAGUAACACGUGGGUAACCUGCCCUAUGCUGGGGAAUAACCUCGGGAAACCGAGAAUAGUGCCCCAUAGUCCACAAUGCCUGGAACGGUUUGUGGAUUAAAGCUCCGGCGGCAUAGGAUGGGCCUGCGGCGUAUCAGGUCGUAGGGGGUGUAACGUACCCUCUAGCCAUCGACGCGUACGGGUGUUGGGAGACAUAGCCCGGAGAUGGAUUCUGAGACACGAAUCCAGACCCUACGGGGUGCAGCAGGCGCGAAAACUUGGCAAUGCGAGAAAUCGUGACCAGGGAACUCCAAGUGGCUGGGGUAAGACCCAGUCUUUUCUUGACUCUUCAAAGGUCUUGGAAUAAGGGGUGGGUAAGGACGGUGCCAGCCGCCGCGGUAAUACCGGCGCCUCAAGUGGUAGUCGAUUUUAUUGGGCCUAAAACGUCCGUAGCCUGUUUGGUACAUUCGUGGGUAAAUCAACCAGCUCAACUGAUUGAAUUCUGCGAGC